GACGAACGCUGGCGGCGUGCUUAACACAUGCAAGUCGAGCGGUAAGGCCCGUUUCGGGGGUACACGAGCGGCGAACGGGUGAGUAACACGUGGGUGACCUGCCCUCAGCUCUGGGAUAAGCCUGGGAAACCGGGUCUAAUACUGGAUAUGACUCCAUGACGCAUGUUGUGGGGUGGAAAGCCUUGUGCGGCUGAGGAUGGGCCCGCGGCCUAUCAGCUUGUUGGUGGGGUGAUGGCCUACCAAGGCGACGACGGGUAGCCGGCCUGAGAGGGCGACCGGCCACACUGGGACUGAGACACGGCCCAGACUCCUACGGGAGGCAGCAGUGGGGAAUCUUGCGCAAUGGGCGAAAGCCUGACGCAGCGACGCCGCGUGAGGGAUGACGGCCU
rnacentral:rRNA from 1 species